AUUGAACGCUGGCGGCAUGCCUUACACAUGCAAGUCGAACGGCAGCGGGGACUUCGGUCCGCCGGCGAGUGGCGAACGGGUGAGUAAUGUAUCGGAACGUACCUUCCAGUGGGGGAUAACGUAGCGAAAGUUACGCUAAUACCGCAUAUUCUGUGAGCAGGAAAGCAGGGGAUCGCAAGACCUUGCGCUGAUUGAGCGGCCGAUAUCAGAUUAGCUAGUUGGUGAGGUAAAGGCUCACCAAGGCUACGAUCUGUAGCGGGUCUGAGAGGAUGAUCCGCCACACUGGGACUGAGACACGGCCCAGACUCCUACGGGAGGCAGCAGUGGGGAAUUUUGGACAAUGGGCGAAAGCCUGAUCCAGCCAUGCCGCGUGAGUGAAGAAGGCCUUCGGGUUGUAAAGCUCUUUCGGCCGGGAAGAAAUCGCAUCAGCUAAUACCUGGUGUGGAUGACGGUACCGGAAUAAGAAGCACCGGCUAACUACGUGCCAGCCGCCGCAGUAAUAC
rnacentral:rRNA from 1 species